UGCCAGCAGCCGCGGUAAUACGGAGGAUCCAAGCGUUAUCCGGAAUCAUUGGGUUUAAAGGGUCCGUAGGUGGAUAAUUAAGUCAGAGGUGAAAUCUUGCCGCUUAACGGUAAAAUUGCCUUUGAUACUGGUUGUCUUGAGUUAUUAUGAAGUGGUUAGAAUAUGUAGUGUAGCGGUGAAAUGCAUAGAUAUUACAUAGAAUACCAAUUGCGAAGGCAGAUCACUAAUAAUAUACUGACACUGAUGGACGAAAGCGUGGGGAGCGAACAGGAUUAGAUA
rnacentral:rRNA from 1 species